UACAGAGGGUGCAAGCGUUAAUCGGAAUUACUGGGCGUAAAGCGCGCGUAGGUGGUUUGUUAAGUUGAAUGUGAAAGCCCCGGGCUCAACCUGGGAACUGCAUCCAAAACUGGCAAGCUAGAGUACGGUAGAGGGUGGUGGAAUUUCCUGUGUAGCGGUGAAAUGCGUAGAUAUAGGAAGGAACACCAGUGGCGAAGGCGACCACCUGGACUGAUACUGACACUGAGGCGCGAAAGCGUGGGGAGCAAACAGG
rnacentral:rRNA from 1 species